UGAAAAUAUCAUGGUAGAUAUUCUCUUCCUUCCUCAGGAAAGAGAAACUUUAUGCCUUCAGUUACAGCACAGUCCUGAGUGCCUAUCGCUAUUCACUGAUCAGUCUUGGACAGAGCGAUACUGGAACAGAGCUGUAGUCAGGCUACGGAUGACUAGGACAACCAGCAAGGAAAAACACAGCACAUGGAUCUGAUUCAUACAACGUGUUUUCUCGUGUCACUGUGACAAGUGCCUAGCUGAUCGCUGUACUUGAGCAAGAGCCAUUCACUGACUGGCAGGGUUAGGAAGAUACUCUGUGUGAGCUGAUUAUUUCAUAACCAUCUUCUAUGAAGCUUCUUGUGUUCUCUUGAGGGCCCUGGUACUGGCAACCAUCAGGAGGAUACUGGGUGAGGGGGUCUGAACUGGCAUGGUGGUUCCUAUGUUCUACAUCUCUGAGCACGUGCACACAAUUCAGAUCAUAUGAAUAUGCUCACAACGCUGAAACACUUGGAUCUUGGGCACAUCUCAUCAGUUUCAGGUUUUCAAGAUACCUGAGAAGUGCUUAGACAGUUCAGCUGGAUGUGCUUAACACCUGAUACUAGGAUAAAGGGAUCUUUUAU